GGCCCGUUCGUCUAUCGGUUAGGACGUUAGGUUUUCAUCCUAGAAAGAGGUGUUCGAUUCCCCUACGGGCUAC
rnacentral:tRNA from 1 species